GCCUUCGUGGUGUAGUGGUCAGCACACCGUGUGCGUAUGCCAGAGGUCGGUGGUUCGAGUCCCGGCGAAGGCG
rnacentral:tRNA from 1 species